rnacentral:rRNA from 1 species
GAUGAACGCUGGCGGCGUGCCUAAUACAUGCAAGUCGAGCGAACGGACGAGAAGCUUGCUUUUCUGAUGUUAGCGGCGGACGGGUGAGUAACACGUGGAUAACCUACCUAUAAGACUGGGAUAACUUCGGGAAACCGGAGCUAAUCCCGGAUAAUCUUUUGAACCGCAUGGGUCAAAAGUGAAAGACGGUCUUGCUGUCACUUAUAGAUGGAUCCGCGCUGCAUUAGCUAGUUGGUAAGGUAACGGCUUACCAAGGCAACGAUGCAUAGCCGACCUGAGAGGGGGAUAGGCCACACUGGAACUGAGACACGGUCCAGACUCCUACGGGAGGCAGCAGUAGGGAAUCGUCCGCAAUGGGCGAAAGCCUGACGGAGCAACGCCGCGUGAGUGAUGAAGGUCUUCGGAUCGUAAAACUCUGUUAUUAGGGAAGAACAUAUGUGUAAGUAACUGUGCACAGCGUGACGGUACCUAAUCAGAAAGCCACGGCUAACUACGUG